UUCAAAUGAUGGGGAAGCCGGGCAUCACUGAGAGCUGAGAAGACUCGCUUGUUCGUGCUUACUCGAAAGCAGAAGAGGCCUGGGAACUUCAGGUGGCGACUCUCGUGUUUCUGACUUUGGCUACCAGCAAACACUGCUGGAGGCUCUGCCCCGUCCACACCCAGCUUCUGUGAGCACGGAGGAGGCAUAAUCUGCAGAGUCUGACACAGGCCAUGCCUGACCAUCCUUGGCUGGCUACCUCCAGUGACACAGAACUGAGAAGCAAAGACGCCCAGGAGGCUGCAGUCAUUUAGCAGAGUGGACGGAUGCCAGGGCUGUGCUGCCUGCAGCCUUUGUGGGGCUCAGUGACCAGAUGGGCAGCCCAUGCCAAGCCCAGUCCCCAGGGAUGCUGCCUGCGGUGCUCACGCAUCUUAUACAGGGACACACAAGAACUCUGGGCUCGACCCUGCAGCCUCUGCUCCAGCAUGCGGUGGUCCCAAGAGAUGUAGAACCAGCCCUUCCUCUGCAGUUGCACUGGUGAGAAGGGGGCUGUCUGCAAGCCAGGAAGAGGGCUCUCACCAGAACCCAACUCAGCUGGUACUGUCUCCAGCUUCCAAACUCCAGAACUGUGAGAAAUAAAUGUGUGUUGUUAUUAAA
rnacentral:lncRNA from 1 species